rnacentral:lncRNA from 1 species
AAGUUUAAGUUCAACAUUUUAUUAAACAAACUGGAGACAGUAAACACUCCUGAAAUAGACAUUAGAGGGAGGUCCAUCAGUAGCCUUGGUAACAAGACCUGGGGUAGAGGGAGGUCCAUCAGUACCAUUGGUAACAAGGCCUGGGGUAGAGGGAGUUCCAUCAGUAGCCUUGGAAACAAGGCCUGGGGUAGAGGGAGGUCCAUCAGUAGCCUUGGUAACAAGGCCUGGGGUAGAGGGAGGUCCAUCAGUACCAUUAGUAACAAGGCCUGGGGUAGAGGGAGGUCCAUUAGUAGCCUUGGUAACAAGGCCUGGGGUAGAGGGAGGUCCAUUAGUACCAUUGGUAACAAGGCCUGGGGUAGAGGGAGGUCCAUCAGUAGCCUUGGUAACAAGGCCUGGGGUAGAGGGAGGUCCAUUAGUACCAUUGGUAACAAGGCCUGGGGUAGAGGGAGGUCCAUCAGUAGCCUUGGUAACAAGGCCUGGGGUAGAGGGAGGUCCAUCAGUAGCAUUGGUAACAAGGCCUGGGCUAGAGGGAGGUCCAUUAGUACCAUUGGUAACAAGGCCUGGGGUAGAGGGAGGUUCUGACAGAGCUCUGAUGAUACAAGCAGGUGCAAAGGGGACACAACAUGUCCUUGUCCCAGUCCUGUCUUCUUCUGUCUCUGAUUCACCUUCACUUAUGGUGACAGAGAGAUGCUCCCCACCCUGUUCACCUUCUGGACAGGG